rnacentral:tmRNA from 1 species
GGGGGCGGUACCCGGCGCCUCCACCAAAGUAUAAUCAACAAAGAUUAUAUUUUUAUCGGGGGCGAAACAGGAUCGACAAGGGUGUAAAGAUUAGCUCUUUUACUCGGCAUUGUACCACCGUUAUCGGGCUAGAUGAAUAGUUGCAAAUGACAACUAUGCGGAGGCACGUCUCAUCGCUGCUUAAGCGAUGCGAAGGCUUCAAAUUAAGUCUUAAACCGUCGCAGGUUUAAGCGGGGUUCGAAGGCACCUGGAAAACAGAAGCACAA